rnacentral:rRNA from 1 species
GGGUCAGUAGGUUGGUCGUGCCACCGGUACGUACUGGUCUCACUGAUUCCUCCUUCCUGAAGAACCGUAAUGCCAUUAAUUUGGUGUUGCGGGGAAACAGGACUGUUACUUUGAAAAAAUUAGAGUGUUUAAAGCAAGCUAACGCUUGAAUACAUUAGCAUGGAAUAAUCAAAUAGGACGAUCGAUCCUAUUUUGUUGGUUUCUAGGAUUGACGUA